rnacentral:tRNA from 1 species
GCCCAGCUAGCUCAGUUGGUAGAGCAUGACAUUCUUAAUCUCAGGGUCGUGGGUUCGAGCCCUACGUUGGGCG